rnacentral:rRNA from 1 species
GACGAACGCUGGUGGCGUGCUUAACACAUGCAAGUCGAACGGAAAGGCCCUGCUUUUGUGGGGUGCUCGAGUGGCGAACGGGUGAGUAACACGUGAGUAACCUGCCCUUGACUUUGGGAUAACUUCAGGAAACUGGGGCUAAUACCGGAUAGGAGCUCCUGCUGCAUGGUGGGGGUUGGAAAGUUUCGGCGGUUGGGGAUGGACUCGCGGCUUAUCAGCUUGUUGGUGGGGUAGUGGCUUACCAAGGCUUUGACGGGUAGCCGGCCUGAGAGGGUGACCGGCCACAUUGGGACUGAGAUACGGCCCAGACUCCUACGGGUGGCAGCAGUGGGGAAUAUUGCACAAUGGGCGGAAGCCUGAUGCAGCAACGCCGCGUGCGGGAUGACGGCCUUCGGGUUGUAAACCGCUUUCGCCUGUGACGAAGCGUGAGUGACGGUAAUGGGUAAAGAAGCACCGGCUAACUACGUGCCAGCAGCCGCGGUGAUACGUAGGGUGCGAGCGUUGUCCGGAUUUAUUGGGCGUAAAGGGCUCGUAGGUGGUUGAUCGCGUCGGAAGUGUAAUCUUGGGGCUUAACCCUGAGCGUGCUUUCGAUACGGGUUGACUUGAGGAAGGUAGGGGAGAAUGGAAUUCCUGGUGGAGCGGUGGAAUGCGCAGAUAUCAGGAGGAACACCAGUGGCGAAGGCGGUUCUCUGGGCCUUUCCUGACGCUGAGGAGCGAAAGCGUGGGGAGCGAACAGGCUUAGAUACCCUGGUAGUCCACGCUGUAAACGGUGGGUACUAGGUGUGGGGUCCAUUCCACGGGUUCCGUGCCGUAGCUAACGCUUUAAGUACCCCGCCUGGGGAGUACGGCCGCAAGGCUAAAACUCAAAGGAAUUGACGGGGCCCCGCACAAGCGGCGGAGCAUGCGGAUUAAUUCGAUGCAACGCGUAGAACCUUACCUGGGUUUGACAUGGAUCGGGAGUGCUCAGAGAUGGGUGUGCCUCUUUCGGGGUCGGUUCACAGGUGGUGCAUGGCUGUCGUCAGCUCGUGUCGUGAGAUGUUGGGUUAAGUCCCGCAACGAGCGCAACCCUUGUUCACUGUUGCCAGCACGUUAUGGUGGGGACUCAGUGGAGACCGCCGGGGUCAACUCGGAGGAAGGUGGGGAUGACGUCAAGUCAUCAUGCCCCUUAUGUCCAGGGCUUCACGCAUGCUACAAUGGCUGGUACAGAGAGUGGCGAGCCUGUGAGGGUGAGCGAAUCUCGGAAAGCCGGUCUCAGUUCGGAUUGGGGUCUGCAACUCGACCUCAUGAAGUCGGAGUCGCUAGUAAUCGCAGAUCAGCAACGCUGCGGUGAAUACGUUCCCGGGGCU